GGAUUUGUUAUCAAGCUCAACUAUAUGAAAUGAAAAUAUUAAAGAUCUUACAUUAAAUUCCCUCAGCUAGAAAUAUUGAGAAAGUGAUUUUAGAAAAGAAAAAUCAAAGAGAAAAGUCUCUUUAUUGACAAUUAAUUAUCUACAUUCAUCUCCUAUUUCCCUAAACUCAAGCCUUCAAUCUCGGCGCUAGGCCCCAAGCAUUCGGCGACCCUAUAUACACAAUAAACUCUAUUGAUUUUCCUUAUUAAUAAGAACAACCAGAGUCUCAAACACAUAGACUGGUCUCUUUUUCAUGUUCGUUUCCUGUUUUUUGCUCCUUGAUCAUCUUUUUUUUGAUAACUUUGAUUCUUUAAUUUUUUUUUCUUUAUCAAGAAUGGAGGGGAGGAAACUGAAUUUGUAUUCUCCAUUACCAUCAAUAAGGCGAAUUUCAAGUAAAACAAAGCAUUCAAGUGAAUCAGAUAACAAGACAACAGUUAUUACCAGACCAGAGCGUCGAUCAUGCCUAAGAAUAGAACAAGAAACGCCGGUUUCUGUAUUACCAGACCAGAGCUUCGAUCAUCUCUCCGAACCAGCUUCAGUUCCUUUUAUGUGGGAACAAACCCCUGGAAAACCAAAAGAUAACAUGACUACACUGAUUCAAGAAUCAGGUUUACUAGAAACUGAUGAUGAAGAAGAAGAAGAAGAUUUGUAUACAGGUUCUUCUGAUGGAACCUUCUCCGUUAACUGCAGCACAAGUGGAGUGAGUGAGAUCGAAAAGAACGUUGAGAAAGCUGACGAUGCGUCGUCUAGAGAAAGUCUCGAUCAAAUGAUGGCAAGAUUCUUACCAGCUGCUAAAGCAAUGGCUUUCACACAUCAAAAACGCUCUUCAGAGCAAAAGCAAACCCUACAAAACAGAGAAGCACUUGCAAUUCGCCAAAGAAGUCAAGUAGUCGCAGAACAUGAGCAUUUCGCUAUUGUUCAGAGUCUUUAUGAUGAUUUAAACAUU
rnacentral:lncRNA from 1 species